rnacentral:rRNA from 1 species
CCAACAGGGAUUCCCUUAGUAAGUGCGACUGAAACGGGAUCAGCCCAGCGCAUAAUCUCGUUCGAGAGGUGUUGCGUUUCGGAAGGCCUCAACCGCUGUCCAACCGCUAAGUUGCACUUGAAAGUGACCACUAACCAUGGAGGGUGAUAGUCCCGUGUGGCGGCACGUCGAAAGGGGGCACAGGGGCGGCGGCGUGGACCUUCCGUAGAGUCGGGUUGCUUGAAAGUGCAGCCCUAAGCAGGUGGUAAACUCCAUCUAAGGCUAAAUACUCCCACGAGA